GGAGUGAGCAGAGGGCUUUUUCAAGAGGUCUUUAUUACUGAGAUUGCUUUAGGCAGAGUAGAGGACCUCAAAAACUGUGCUUUCAGCAGAUGAGAGUUAGCAUAAGGUCGCAAAUUAAGAAAAGAAGGUUUUUCUUAAUGUCUGAGAAUGAAGACUAGGAUUGGUGAAGACAAAGAACAGUUUGAAGUACCCUGGGAAGUUUGGCAUAGUUUAAGGCACGGAAGCCUCCAGGGUAGACUUUGGAUUUAGUCCUAAGUUCCAAAUGAAAGCUGCCCUGCAGAGAGUAGUAAAAUCAGGACUCCUGGUGACAGAAUCAAGGCAGGUGACAGAAUCAAAGUUUAUCAACUGACCUGCAUCUGAAGCCCAUGUACACAUCAAGAGAGUCAUAAUCCAGAUGAAAAUGAGGUAAAGAACAAUGUGAGAAAAUGACCAAUACUUUUGUUUACCUGUGACUGUAUCAAAAUUACAGAUAGUCAUGAAAUAGCAAAAUGGAAUAACAGCUUUGAACUCCUUACUGUAAGUAAUGGUUUUGAAUGAGAAAUGUAUAUCUGGCAUUCCAUAUUCUUCCUUCAUCUCAAUCACUAUGGCAACAGCUUAGUCUAACAAGACCAAGGUAGAUAAAUGCUACAUCAUACGUUACUAUUAUGGGCCUUAUAAACCAAUAGGGAACUAGAAAUGAUGUUUUUUUUUUAAUGUGUGUUUUUGUUUUCCUAACUCUAGCAGAAGAUACAGGGGGAAAUUAAGCUUGAAUAAUUUUUACCACAACUGAAUUCAUGUUUGGAGAUCAUCUAAAGGCAUAUGGCAAUCACCACCCGCCAGCAAAAUGUUUAAAAGUUUGCCAAGGAUGUCUGAAUGGUGGCCAAUCUGAUCACAAAAUGAAACAAUGUGAUGGUUAUCCAAGGAUGAAGAGGACUAAGAUGAGUUCAAAGGAAGAAUUAACUUCUGAAACAUGGAACAAUGCAUGAAAAGGUGUUAGAUGGAGAAUUACCUUGUAGGACCUUGUGGUGUGUCCACUGACAUAUACGUCUUCGCCAAGAUGAUGUGUUUCUGAAAUAAACCACAGUCUCCCAGGCA
rnacentral:lncRNA from 1 species